rnacentral:rRNA from 1 species
AUGCAUGAGUUAACUAAGGAAAACAUUGAGCGUAUGAAUGCUAAAUAUAAACUUGCUGGAGAUAAGGGUAGAAAACAUGUUGUGUUUGCACCUGGAGAUCGUGUUUGGUUACAUUUGCGUAAGGAUAGAUUUCCUGAUUUGCGCAAAUCAAAGCUAAUGCCACGUGCUGAUGGUCCUUUUAAGGUGUUAGAGAAAAUAAAUGAUAAUGCAUAUAAACUUGAGCUGCCUGCAGAUUUUGGGGUUAGUCCCACUUUUAAUAUUGCAGAUUUGAAGCCUUAUUUGGGUGAGGAAGAUGAGCUUCCGUCGAGGACGACUUCAUUUCAAGAAGGGGAGGAUGAUGAGGACAUCAAUACAAUUAUUACACCCACAGGCCCUGCUGCUAUACAUACUGGACCAAUUACUAGAGCUCGCGCACGCCAAUUAAAUUACCAGGAAACAGACCCUCGUGGUCAGGUUGAUCGUGCUCCGGCGUGGUCGAUAACCUCUCGGAGUUGGUUUAGCGAUUGCUAA